UUCAUAUACUUGAGCUCAAACCUGUCACCCUACACAUUUCAUUCACAUCUUUUUCUUUCAUAUCUGUACUAUCCUAUUAUAAUAAGGACCUAAAAAAAUGAAAAAAAAAAAAAAAAAGAACUGAUACAAACUUUACCUAAGAUUUGAUAGAUGUUUAAAAUAACUUUAAAAUGUCUCAACGCAAAAGCAGUGAUGUAGUGGUGCCUGAAGAAGUGGGUAUAUGCAUAAUUUAUAAUAUAUGUUUGUGUGUGUGUGUGUGUAAUUAACACAAUCAACGUCCAGAAACAUGGCAAGGAGAUUGGUAAUGUGACAUCCAUGUGACAUCAGGGGUUUAACAGUAUACAACACAUUGAUUAAUAGCGAUAUUUAUGUGUUGUGCACGCCUAAACUUUUUCUCAGAACGAUAUUUUCUUUCACUCGCAAUGCGCAGCAGCCAGGAAAGUUGUUUUUAUCAAGGAAAAAGGAGAAAGUAAGUGUUUUAUCUCAUUUACAUUAUGUAUUUUAUAAGAUAAUAUUACUUUAUAAAGAUAUUUGUAUGCUGUAUGCCCUAAACAAGCCUAAACGUUUCUCACAGAUUUGAAUUGCUAUGCAGUGUGGAGUACGGAGGUCGCUUUUACCAGAUUUGCUAUGUAAUGCUGAUGGAGGUCACUUUUAACAGGGAAACACUAGAAGAGAUGAUGUGCUUGAAGAGUAUGAAUCCACCAAUACAUUAAGUGGGAUGAGAAGAGUUUUGUUAGGACACAUAACAGAGACAUGGGAGGAGUCCAACUUCAAUGUAGAGAGAGAUCAGUACGCACUUGGAAUUAUGACUUUGUCGCUGACGUUAAAAGACCAAUUUUCCAGUCACUGUAGCCACCCAGAUCCAGACUGUAUCCAGGUCAAAUGGUCACUGCAGGUACCCGGAUAUAGUCCGUACCCAGCCCAGAUGGUGGAUCAGCACCUAGAGAUGAUCUCUACAGCCCUGAAUGUCAGCGGAGACCAGGACAAAUAGAUGAGCGCCAGAGACUGAUCCCAUCUGAAGACCUUGUCACCUAGAUGGCAAUCCGGACAAGACCACAGGAACCAGAUGAGUUCUCUGCACAAACUUUGUUGCAAGGAGCACUUUUGUGAUGCUGCAAGUGAGAAUGUAUAUCUUGCUUGGCUGAAAACUGCAGAGAAACGCAUCUUGUCAUGCUGAAAACAAAAAAUGAGACUAUACUCUCUUCAAGGAGGUCCAAACACCAUUAGCAAAGACUGUUGUUGUCAUUAUAAACCUUAUGACAUUAAGAGUACAUAAUAUGCACCACAUUAUAAUAUGUAUUUUGUGCCUUUGCAUUGAUAUGCCUUGACAUUAUGAUGUUUUAAUUGUUGUAAGAACAUGUUUUUACAUGUAUUGAAAACACUGAAUGUGAAGAAAUUUUGUUGCAGGGAAAAUUAUACGUUUCAUUUUGUAAAUAAAUUUAAAUGUGCAUUGUUUUGUGUGUUUUUUUUCCACCUGAACAUUGUUGCUGUUGACCAGUUAAUCCAACUUUGGUAUUUUCAUCAUCCAUUCUGGUGUUAAUAUUUUACAUGUUAAAAGUUUGUUAGUAACACUGUCAGGGUGUUAAUAAUGUUAACUCUUUCAAAAGUGUUUACCGCUGGUAAAGUUUACAGAGGUUCACCGGUUUAAGAAAUUUCUGAUCGUAAAAACCUGCUUCUUUUCACUUUCAAGGUAUUGUUUUAGCUAUAAAUGUACUGAUUCAAAUUAGUAAUCAAUAAUAAUGAUUAUUUUACACUCUGCGCGCCUCCCCUAACAUGCUCUCGUGUAUUAACACGCAGAAUGGAGUAGGGGGACGGAGCGGGCGCGGGCGCAGCAGGCUCAAUCAUUAAACGUUUCAAAGGAAGCAUCAUCACUGUCUUUACUGUUUGAUUUUAGGGAAUAUUUGCAUUUAUUCACACGCAACUAAAGUAGCUAUUCAUGUGGUGGACUGUCAGGACACUACUGAAUGAUGCGCAUUUAUAAGUAGGAAUAGGCAAAGCCGACUGAUAAAGUCUGUCGUAUCAAGCUCCUAUUUGAGUCCUACAUUAGUGGCUUGGUAUUUGAUUUUUGAUUUUUUGCUAUUUUAUUGUUCUCUGUUUAGACCUGUGCCUGCCGCACAUCAUUCUCUGGCCCCGGACUGUCUGUCUGGUUUUGACUUGUGUCUAAGUCGCUCUCGUCUGCGCUCCCCUGCCCGCUGUAUUCUCCAGUCCGGAGUCCGCCUCAUCGGCCGGUGACCUGCUGCUGCUUUUCUUUUUGUUUGUCAGCAAACGUUCUCAAAUGCCUUUUUUCCAUGUAUGCAAUGUUUUAAUAAAGUUGGAUUAUA